GGCCAGGUGGUGGAACUGGUAGACACGCGACGCUCAGACCGUCGUGCCAUCACGGCGUGGGAGUUCGAAUCUCCCCCUGGUCA
rnacentral:tRNA from 1 species